rnacentral:rRNA from 1 species
UACGUAGGUGGCAAGCGUUAUCCGGAUUUAUUGGGUGUAAAGGACGUGUAGGCGGGAGCGCAAGUCAGAUGUGAAAACUCAGGGCUCAACCCUGAGCCUGCAUUUGAAACUGUGUUUCUUGAGUGCUGGAGAGGCAAUCGGAAUUCCGUGUGUAGCGGUGAAAUGCGUAGAUAUACGGAGGAACACCAGUGGCGAAGGCGGAUUGCUGGACAGUAACUGACGCUGAGGCGCGAAAGCGUGGGGAGCAAACAGG